rnacentral:rRNA from 1 species
GGCUGUUGCUGGUCCUCUCCAGAGAUGACAUGUGCACGCUUGUCCUCUUUAUUCUUCCAACUGUGCACACAUUGUAGAUCUGGAUGUUGUUUUUUGAGGACUGCCGUGCUUUGCUGAACGGCUUUGCCUUGUAUUUCCAGGUCUAUGUUACAUUUAACAACGUGUCUUAGAAUGUCGGGUACUGGGGAUAACAAAUAUACAACUUUCAGCAACGGAUCUCUUGGCUCUCGCAUCGAUGAAGAACGCAGCGAAAUGCGAUAAGUAAUGUGAAUUGCAGAAUUCAGUGAAUCAUCGAAUCUUUGAACGCACCUUGCGCUCCUUGGUAUUCCGAGGAGCAUGCCUGUUUGAGUGUCAUCAAGUUCUCAACCAUACCCUGGGUGUGGCUUGGAUUUGGGGGGUUUUGCAGGCUUUCUUUGAAAGAACAAAGUCGGCUCCCCUGAAAAGCAUUAGUGGUAUCUGAGCUACCUUGGGUGUGAUUAACUAUCUAUGCCCUUGGUGUACAUGAACAGAUUGUGCUGCUUCUGAACCUGCGUCUUGCGCAUUUGACAAAUUUGACCUCAAAUCAGGUAGGAUUACCCGCUGAACUUAAGCAUAUCAAUAAGCGGAGGAAAAGAAACUAACAAGGAUUCCCCUAGUAACUGCGAGUGAAGCGGGAAGUGCUCAAAUUUAAAAUCUGGCGGUCAUUGACCGUCCGAGUUGUAAUCUAGAGAAGUGUUACCUGUGCUGGACCGUGUACAAGUCUCC